rnacentral:rRNA from 1 species
UACGGGGGGGGCAAGCGUUGUUCGGAAUUACUGGGCGUAAAGGGCUCGUAGGCGGCCAACUAAGUCAGACGUGAAAUCCCUCGGCUUAACCGGGGAACUGCGUCUGAUACUGGAUGGCUUGAGGUUGGGAGAGGGAUGCGGAAUUCCAGGCGUAGCGGUGAAAUGCGUAGAUAUCUGGAGGAACACCGGUGGCGAAGGCGGUGGUCUGGGCCGGAACUGACGCUGAGGAGCGAAAGCGUGGGGAGCGAACAGGAUUAGACGUACCCAGAG